GUCAGAACGAACGCUGGCGGCAGGCCUAACACAUGCAAGUCGAACGGAUCCUUCGGGAUUAGUGGCAGACGGGUGAGUAACGCGUGGGAAGCUACCUUGUGGUAGGGGACAACAGUUGGAAACGACUGCUAAUACCCUAUGAGCCCUAUGGGGGAAAGAUUUAUCGCCAUGAGAUGUGCCCGCGUUAGAUUAGCUAGUUGGUAAGGUAAUGGCUUACCAAGGCGACGAUCUAUAGCUGGUCUGAGAGGAUGAUCAGCCACACUGGGACUGAGACACGGCCCAGACUCCUACGGGAGGCAGCAGUGGGGAAUAUUGGACAAUGGGGGCAACCCUGAUCCAGCCAUGCCGCGUGUGUGAUGACGGCCUUAGGGUUGUAAAGCACUUUCAGCAGUGAAGAUAAUGACAUAACUGCAGAAGAGCCCCGNACUCG
rnacentral:rRNA from 1 species